rnacentral:rRNA from 1 species
GAUGAACGCUGGCGGCGUGCCUAAUACAUGCAAGUCGAGCGAACGGACGAGAAGCUUGCUUCUCUGAUGUUAGCGGCGGACGGGUGAGUAACACGUGGAUAACCUACCUAUAAGACUGGGAUAACUUCGGGAAACCGGAGCUAAUACCGGAUAAUAUUUUGAACCGCAUGGUUCAAAAGUGAAAGACGGUCUUGCUGUCCCUUAUAGAUGGAUCCGCGCUGCAUUAGCUAGUUGGUAAGGUAACGGCUUACCAAGGCAACGAUGCAUAGCCGACCUGAGAGGGUGAUCGGCCACACUGGAACUGAGACACGGUCCAGACUCCUACGGGAGGCAGCAGUAGGGAAUAUUCCGCAAUGGGCGAAAGCCUGACGGAGCAACGCCGCGUGAGUGAUGAAGGUCUUCGGAUCGUAAAACUCUGUUAUUAGGGAAGAACAUAUGUGUAAGUAACUGUGCACAUCUUGACGGUACCUAAUCAGAAAGCCACGGCUAACUACGUG